UUAAAAAGCUCGUAGUUGGAUUUCUGCCGAGGACGUCCGGUCCGCCCUCUGGGUGAGUACAUGGCACGGCCUGGGCAUCUUCUUGGGGAACGUAUCUGCACUUGACUGUGUGGUGCGGUAUCCAGGACUUUUACUUUGAGGAAAUUAGAGUGUUUCAAGCAGGCACACGCCUUGAAUACAUUAGCAUGGAAUAAUAAGAUAGGACCUCGGUUCUAUUUUGUUGGUUUCUAGAGCUGAGGUAAUGAUUAAUAGGGACAAUUGGGGGUAUUCGAAUUAACGCGUCAGAGGUGGAAUUCUUGGAUUGCGUUACGACGAACUACUGCGAAAGCAUUUACCAAGGAUGUUUUCAUUGAUCAAGAACGAAAGUCAGGGGAUCGAAGACGAUUAGAUACCGUCGUAGUCUUGGACCAUAAANUAUGCCGACUAGAGAUUGGAGGUUCGCUCUUUUUACGGCUCCUUCAGCAUCUUAUGAGAAAUCAAAGUUUUUGGGGUUCCGGGGGGA
rnacentral:rRNA from 1 species